rnacentral:tRNA from 2 species
GCCCCCAUCGUCUAGUGGCCUAGGACAUAGCCCUCUCAAGGCUAAAACCGGGGUUCGAGUCCCCGUGGGGGCA